UGGGGGGACCACCCUCCAAGCCUAAAUACUCGUAUGUGACCGAUAGUGAACAAGUACCGUGAGGGAAAGGUGAAAAGAACCCCGGGAGGGGAGUGAAAAGAACAUGAAACCAUAAACUUACAACCAGUAGGAGGACGACUAAAACGUCUGACUGCGUGCCUGUUGAAGAAUGAGCCGGCGACUUAUAGGUAGUGGCAGGGUAAGGCAGAGAAUGCUGGAGCCAUAGUGAAAGCGAGCCUGAAUAGGGCAUAUGUCACUGGUUAUAGACCCGAACCCGGAUGAUCUAACCAUGGUCAGGUUGAAGCUUAGGUAAUACUAAGUGGAGGACCCAACCGACUGAUGUUGAAAAAUCAGCGGAUGAAUUGUGGUUAGGGGUGAAAUGCCAAUCGAAUUCGGAGCUAGCUGGUUCUCCUCGAAAUGCGUUUUGGCGCAGCGAUAAAUCUUAUAACUUAGGGGUAAAGCACUGUUACGUAUGCGGGCUGGUAAUUCGGUACCAAAUCGUUGCAAACUAAGAAUACUAAGUGUACAGUUUAUCAGUGAGACUGUGGGGGAUAAGCUCCAUUGUCAAGAGGGAAACAGCCCAGAGCACCAGUUAAGGCCCCUAAAUAAUUACUAAGUGAUAAAGGAAGUGGGAUUGCGAAAACAAUCAGGAGGUUUGCCUAGAAGCAGCAAUCCUUUAAAGAGUGCGUAAUAGCUCACUGAUCGAGUAAACCUGCGCCGAAAAUGUACGGGACUAAGUAAUUUGCCGAAACUGUGCGAUAUAUUACAAAUAUAUCGGUAGAGGAGCGUUCUGUUGUAGAUUGAAGUAUUAGCGUAAGCGGAUAUGGACGAAGCAGAAGUGAGAAUGUCGGCUUGAGUAACGAAAAUAUAGGUGAGAAUCCUAUACCCCGAAAACCCAAGGUUUCCUCCGGAAGGCUCGUCCGCGGAGGGUAAGUCAGGACCUAAGGCAAGGCUGAAAAGCGUAGUCGAUGGACAACGGGUUAAUAUUCCCGUACCAUUAUUUAUUGAUAACGAGGGACGAAGAAGGCUAAGCUGGCCGGAUGUUGGUUACCGGUUUAAGCGUUCGAGAUGAUGAGAAACGGAGAAAACGUUUUGAGUUGAGGCGUGAUGACGAGAUGCUACGGCAUUGAAGCAGUGUAUGUCAGACUUCCAAGAAAAGCUCGGACUGUCAUAAAUAAAUAAUGCCUGUACCAUAACCGACACAGGUGGGUAGGUAGAGUAUACUAAGGGGCGCGAGAUAACUCUCUCUAAGGAACUCGGCAAAAUGACUCCGUAACUU
rnacentral:rRNA from 1 species